rnacentral:lncRNA from 1 species
CCUAUGUUAAGGAAAUACCCUUUAGCCAAAAAAUCAGCCAAACAGCAGCACAUUUGCUUUGCUAUAAACAUGCACAAAAUAAAUGCCUUGAUAAGUACAAGAUCUGUAGCAAGACCCACGCGAUAAACAUGCACAAAAGAAAACUUUGAUAAGUCCAAGAUCUGGAGCAAGACCUAAGCUCUCUAGUCCAAGAUCUGGAGCAAGACCUAAGCUCUCUCAAGGCUGUUUGAUAAGUCCAAGAUCUGGAGCAAGACCUAAGCUCUCUCAAGGCGGUUUGAUAAGUCCAAGAUCUGCAGCAAGACCUAAGCUCCCUCAAGUCCUAAGUACCUAAAUUUAUUGUCACAAACAUUUUCAGGUCAUUUUUUAGACCAUGAAUUUUGUAUGGUUAGUUGUUUUCUUCCGAGUAGACCUGCAUGAGUAAAAACAGAGUAUUUCCUUCUUUGUCCCUUACCACUCCUCCGAAACCAUUUUCUUCCUAAUCCCUUCCCAC